CGCCACUAUAAUCCACCUGUGUUGCAUACACGGUGUGUUGGCGCAUGCGUGAGCAAAAUAAACAAUUCCACGUUUCACUUUGUGUUUACAUUGCAGGCAAUAAUAGAUUUUCGGGGCAUGGUGACGCUCCCCGAGGCUUGAGUCGAUGACUGUCUGUGUCGUUCCAAAUGUCAGCCUCUGUCCCGGGACUGGCUGUCGCCUCCAAACGGGGACACCAGACGGACAAAAACUCCCAGCCUGGCUUUUCAACACGGGGCGCGGGGGUGCUGGAGCCUAUCCCAGCUGUCUUGGGGCGAGAGGCGGGUACACCCUGGACUGGUCGCCAGCCAAUCACAGAGCAUCCUAUCUUCAUUCAUUCAUUUUCUAACGCUUUUUCCAACCACC